AUUGAACGCUGGCGGCAGGCCUAACACAUGCAAGUCGAACGAGUGGCGGACGGGUGAGUAAUGUCUGGGAAACUGCCUGAUGGAGGGGGAUAACUACUGGGAACGGUAGCUAAUACCGCAUACCAUCAGAUGUGCCCAGAUGGGAUUAGCUAGGUGGUGGGGCAACGGCUCACCAAGGCGACGAUCCCUAGCUGGUCUGAGAGGAUGACCAGCCCAACAUGAAAUGAGACACGGUCUAGACUGCUACGGGAGGCAGCAGUGGGGGAUAGUGCACAAGGGGCGCAAGCCGGAUGCAGCCAUGCCGCGUGUAUGAAGAAGGCCUUCGGGUUGUAAAGUACUUACAGCGGGGAGGCGUUACCCGCAGAAGAAGCACCGGCUAACUCCGUGCCAGCAGCCGCGGUAAUUC
rnacentral:rRNA from 1 species